UACGGAAGGCAGCAGUGAGGAAUAUUGGUCAAUGGGUGCAAGCCUGAACCAGCCAUCCCGCGUGAAGGACGACUGCCCUAUGGGUUGUAAACUUCUUUUGUAUAGGGAUAAACCUACCCUCGUGAGGGUAGCUGAAGGUACUAUACGAAUAAGCACCGGCUAACUCCGUGCCAGCAGCCGCGGUAAUACGGAGGGUGCAAGCGUUAUCCGGAUUUAUUGGGUUUAAAGGGUCCGUAGGCGGACUUAUAAGUCAGUGGUGAAAGCCUGUCGCUUAACGAUAGAACUGCCAUUGAUACUGUAAGUCUUGAGUAUAUUUUGAGGUAGCUGGAAUAAGUAGUGUAGCGGUGAAAUGCAUAGAUAUUACUUAGAACACCAAUUGCGAAAGGCAGGUUACCAAGAUAUAAACUGACGCUGAGGGACGAAAGCGUGGGGAGCGAACAGGGAUUAGAUACC
rnacentral:rRNA from 1 species